rnacentral:rRNA from 1 species
AUGGAUCCGAUAGCAGUGACCACACCAUGGAGUACGUCAGCUCAGCUUCCGACGACGGCACCAUUAAGAUCCCUGCUACUACUGAAGACUCCGAUUUUGAGGGACCUGAAAUGGAGUUGCUUGUUUUGUGACAUGGACAUGGGAAGGCCGCAGAGAGGCGUGUUGCUUUCGGAGGAAUCCACACUGGCAGGAGGUUUCUUUACGGUGCUAAGAAGGAAGGUAAAAACUGUGGACUAG